rnacentral:rRNA from 1 species
GCUACGGGUGGCAGCCGUGAGGAAUAUUGGUCAAUGGCCGCAGGGCUGAACCAGCCAAGUCGCGUGAGGGAUGACGGUCCUAUGGAUUGUAAACCUCUUUUGUCAGGGAGCAAAGGGCGCCACGUGUGGCGCUUUGCGAGUACCUGAAGAAAAAGCAUCGGCUAACUCCGUGCCAGCAGCCGCGGUAAUACGGGGGAUGAGAGCGUUAACCGGAUUUAUUGGGUUAAAAGGGUGCGUAGGCGGAAUGUCAAGUUCGCGGGAAAAUGUCGGGGCUCAACCCCGUCGUGCGGUUGAUACUGGCGUUCUGGAGUGAGCGAGAAGUAUGCGGAAUGCGUGGUGUAGCGGUGAAAUGCAUAGAUAUCACGCAGAAC